CAGAUUUGAAAAGAGCGAUGUUGUGAGCCUUGAUGUGUCCCUUGCACUCAAUCUUAUCUUCAAUAAAGGAGUGCUUUGACACACAGGGAUGAGAGGGCAGUGCUACCAAUCAGAACAGCUGCUGCCAUGGUAAUCAAAAAAACAAACACACAGCACUGACUUGUACACCUAUUUCCAUGGGAGUAAUCGCUGACACCUCCUCAACCCUGCCAACCAUUUCAACCAUGGGGAAAUAUGACAUACACACAGGGCUCUGUCAGUGUAAUGAAUGGACUGAGAUUGGUUAAUCCCCCUCCUGGCUAUUAGGCUAUAUCCUGUAUGUGACAUGAAUGCACCUCCCGUAACGUCAUCCUGUC